rnacentral:rRNA from 1 species
UGCCAGCAGCCGCGGUAAUACGGAGGGGGUUAGCGUUGUUCGGAAUUACUGGGCGUAAAGCGCGCGUAGGCGGCUUUGUAAGUCGGAUGUGAAAGCCCUGGGCUUAACCUGGGAAUUGCAUUCGAUACUGCAGAGCUAGAGUAUGGUAGAGGGAAGUGGAAUUUCCGGUGUAGCGGUGAAAUGCGUAGAUAUCGGAAGGAACACCAGUGGCGAAGGCGACUUGCUGGUCUAAUACUGACGCUGAGGUGCGAAAGCGUGGGGAGCAAACGGGAUUAGAUA